AGCUUUGCGCAGUGGCGAUAUCGUUACCUCGGAUAAACCAUCCGAGGUACAAUCAUUGCUAGUUGAAAACUUUAACCAAUGAUGCAUUGCGUUUGUUUCUGGGUAUUGAGAUUGUCUCCUGUCGAAGCGUUAUAUGUAGAAGCAGUUUUGUGUUUGUUUCACCUGUUGGU
rnacentral:snRNA from 13 species